CGCCCGGCUGCCACGGCGGAGCUGGGCUGAGGGAGGCGGCGGAGCUGGGCUGAGGGAGGCGGCGAAAUGGCCGCCAAAACGCCCUCCGAGGCGGCGGCUCCGAGGCGGCGGCUCCGAGGCGGCGGCUCCGAGGCGGCGGCUCCGAGGCGGCGGCUCCGAGGCGGCGGCUCCCGGGCCCCGCUCCGCAGGGAGAGGGCAGCUGAACGUUUCAGCUGAGCUGGGCUGUCGUGCCGGGAAGUUAAGAGCAGAAUCACAGAUGCGCGGAAUGGUUUGGGUUGCAAGGGAGUUAAAAGUUCAUCUAGUUUCAUCCCCCCGGCCAUGGGCAGCUUCCACCAGAUCAGGUUGCUCCAAGCCCUUCCCAACCUGGCCUUGAACACUUCAGCCUCAGCUGCUCUGGGCAACCUUUGCCAGGGCAUCUCCACCCUCACAGGGAAGAAUUUCUUCCCAAUAUCUAAAUCUACUCACUUUUUAGUUUGAAGCCAUUUCCCCUUUUGUCCUAUUGCUACGUGCCCUUGUAAAGUGUGAAAAGUGCAUAUUUUAUGAUUGGCUUUUCA